UACGGGGGGAGCAAGCGUUGUUCGGAUUUACUGGGCGUAAAGGGCGCGUAGGCGGUCAAGUAAGUGGAAUGUGAAAGCCCCCGGCUUACCCGGGGAUCUGCAUCCCAAACUGCUUGGCUUGAGUACGGGAGAGGAUAGGGGAAUUCCUGGUGUAGCGGUGAAAUGCGUAGAUAUCAGGAGGAACACCGGUGGUGUAGACGGCUCACUGGACCGUAACUGACGCUGAGACACGAAAGCGUGGGUAGCAAACAGG
rnacentral:rRNA from 1 species